CUACGGGUCGCACCAGUGAGGAAUAUUGCACAAUGGGGGGAACCCUGAUGCAGCAACGCCGCGUGGAGGAUGACGCAUUUCGGUGUGUAAACUCCUUUUAUAUGUCAAGAAAAUGACGGUAGCAUAUGAAUAAGCACCGGCUAACUCCGUGCCAGCAGCCGCGGUAAUACGGAGGGUGCAAGCGUUACUCGGAAUCACUGGGCGUAAAGGACGCGUAGGCGGGUUGGAAAGUCAGGUGUGAAAUCCUACAGCUUAACUGUAGAACUGCACUUGAAACUUCUAAUCUAGAGUAUGGGAGGGGGAGAUGGAAUUAGUGGUGUAGGGGUAACAUCCGUAGAUAUCACUAGGAAUACCUAAAGCGAAGGCGAUCUCCUGGAACAUUACUGACGCUAAGGCGUGAAAGCGUGGGGAGCAAACAGGAUUAGUACCCCCGUAGUC
rnacentral:rRNA from 1 species